rnacentral:rRNA from 1 species
GACGAACGCUGGCGGCGUGCCUAAUACAUGCAAGUUGAGCGCUGAAGGUUGGUACUUGUACCAACUGGAUGAGCAGCGAACGGGUGAGUAACGCGUGGGGAAUCUGCCUUUGAGCGGGGGACAACAUUUGGAAACGAAUGCUAAUACCGCAUAAAAACUUUAAACACAAGUUUUAAGUUUGAAAGAUGCAAUUGCAUCACUCAAAGAUGAUCCCGCGUUGUAUUAGCUAGUUGGUGAGGUAAAGGCUCACCAAGGCGAUGAUACAUAGCCGACCUGAGAGGGUGAGCAGCCACACUGGGACUGAGACCCGGCCCAAACGCCUACGGGAGGCAGCAGUAGGGAAUCUUCGGCAAUGGGCGAAAGUCUGACCGAGCAACGCCGCGUGAGUGAAGAAGGUUUUCGGGUCGUAAAACUCUGUUGGUAGAGAAGAAAGUUGGUGAGAGUGGAAAGCUCAGCAAGUGACGGUAACUACCCAGAAAGGGACGGCUAACUACGUG